UACGUAGGUGGCAAGCGUUGUCCGGAUUUAUUGGGCGUAAAGAGCUCGUAGGCGGUUCGGUAAGUCGGGUGUGAAACCUCCAGGCUCAACCUGGAGACGCCACCUGAUACUGCUGUGACUCGAGUCCGGUAGGGGAGCGUGGAAUUCCUGGUGUAGCGGUGAAAUGCGCAGAUAUCAGGAGGAACACCAGCGGCGAAGGCGGCGCUCUGGGCCGGAACUGACGCUGAGGAGCGAAAGCGUGGGGAGCGAACAGG
rnacentral:rRNA from 1 species